rnacentral:sRNA from 1 species
CUGAUUAUUACCACCAUCAGGUCCAUGGUGGGUUAGCGCGCGUCGGUACAUCGCUACAUAAACCCGCCAGAGGCGGGUUUU